rnacentral:lncRNA from 1 species
AAGCUGCCCCAGAGCUCACCAUCUUGCACAAACACUUACGCAUUUGUUCCUUCCCUUCUCAGAUUCCUCUGUCUGGUUGGUAUUGGCAGCUGGAUUAUCAAGAUGUCUUGAGAAAGUACUUCUGCAAGUAUUUUUCAUGUAAUCAAAGCCGUUAGCACUGAAAUAUCUUCCUCAGAAAGGAUUCUCCUGUGCUGGUUUCCUUUGUCAUCCUUCUUAAAGCACCAAUUUGCCAAAUACCAGGACAGAGAGAACUAUGCUGUCAACUUUCCACUUACCAAUAUAACGAAUAGGAUCCUGCGUUAACAGGCCCACAGGUCUGAUUCAGCAAGGAAAUUACUGUGUCCCUGUAUCCUUUUAAUUGUAGGUUUGAAAACCAAAGCGUGGAGAUGCACAUAAAUUAUUACAUUGUCGUUGAAUCUGGAGUCAGUCCAGUGUGAACCCGGAACGCCUGGAGCUGCUCCAGCUGAGUGGCAGGAACAAGGCUGAGAGUCCCAGUAAACACCACAUGAUUUCUGGUAUUUGCAGGGCAUCUGUUUUCCCUGCCCUUGCAGUACCUUUGUCUGGUCUGGAGAAGAUCCUGGGUGACUGGUGAUUUUAUUAUGGCCUGGCACAUUUGAGGGUAAGCCACUCGGCUUGUCAGCAUGCUUCCAGAAGAAAAGCUUCAGUGAAAAAACCUUGCUCUGGGCUUUGAAAUCUGAACUGCAGCCAAUUCCAGCUGAGGGAUGUGACGAUUGCCUUUUACU